UACGUAGGGGGCAAGCGUUGUCCGGAUUUAUUGGGCGUAAAGAGCGUGUAGGCGGCCACACAGGUCUGCUGUGAAAACUCGAGGCUCAACCUCGAGAUGUCGGCGGAAACGGUGUGGCUAGAGUCCGGAAGAGGAGAGUGGAAUUCCUGGUGUAGCGGUGAAAUGCGCAGAUAUCAGGAAGAACACCUAUGGCGAAGGCAGCUCUCUGGGACGGUACUGACGCUGAGGCGCGAAAGCGUGGGGAGCGAACAGG
rnacentral:rRNA from 1 species